UUUUCCGCAAUGGGCGAAAGCCUGACGGAGCAAUACCGCGUGAGGGAAGAAGGCUCUUGGGUUGUAAACCUCUUUUCUCAGGGAAGAAAAAAAUGACGGUACCUGAGGAAUAAGCAUCGGCUAACUCCGUGCCAGCAGCCGCGGUAAUACGGAGGAUGCAAGCGUUAUCCGGAAUGAUUGGGCGUAAAGCGUCCGUAGGUGGUUGAGCAAGUCUGCUGUUAAAGCUCGGGGCUAAACUCCGAAAAGGCGGUGGAAACUGCUCGACUAGAGUGUGGUAGGGGUAGAGGGAAUUCCCGGUGUAGCGGUGAAAUGCGUAGAUAUCGGGAAGAACACCGGUGGCGAAAGCGCUCUACUGGGCCAUAACUGACACUGAGGGACGAAAGCUAGGGGAGCGAAAGGGAUUAGAUACCCCUGUAGUC
rnacentral:rRNA from 1 species